ACAUGCAAGUCGAACGGUAACAGGAAGAAGCUUGCUUCUUUGCUGACGAGUGGCGGACGGGUGAGUAAUGUCUGGGAAACUGCCCGAUGGAGGGGGAUAACUACUGGAAACGGUAGCUAAUACCGCAUAACGUCGCAAGACCAAAGAGGGGGACCUUCGGGCCUCUUGCCAUCGGAUGUGCCCAGAUGGGAUUAGCUUGUUGGUGAGGUAACGGCUCACCAAGGCGACGAUCCCUAGCUGGUCUGAGAGGAUGACCAGCCACACUGGAACUGAGACACGGUCCAGACUCCUACGGGAGGCAGCAGUGGGGAAUAUUGCACAAUGGGCGCAAGCCUGAUGCAGCCAUGCCGCGUGUAUGAAGAAGGCCUUCGGGUUGUAAAGUACUUUCAGCGGGGAGGAA
rnacentral:rRNA from 1 species